CUAAUGAUGUUCCCCGACGGUGCCUCCGCGAGGAGGUGAAAAGGGAACGCGGUGCGAGACCGCGGCUGCCCCCGCAACUGUAAGCGGGUGUCUUUUGCCAUCGGCCACUGGAGCCAACGCUCCGGGAAGGCGGCACGAGACAUCGGACCCGCGAGCCAGGAGACCUGCCGUCGACCCGCAACGAUCC
rnacentral:ncRNA from 13 species